CCUACGGGAGGCAGCAGUGGGGAAUCUUCCGCAAUGGGCGAAAGCCUGACGGAGCAACGCCGCGUGAUCGAAUGAAGGCCUUCGGGUUGUAAAGAUCUGUUGACAGGGACGAAUAAGCCAUGCGAAUAGUUUGGUGUAUGACGGUACCUGUUUAGAAAGCUCCGGCUAACUACGUGCCAGCAGCCGCGGUAAUACGUAGGGAGCAAGCGUUGUCCGGAAUUACUGGGCGUAAAGGGCGAGUCGGUGGGUGCUUAAGUCAGGUGUGAAAACUCUGGGCUCAACCUGGAGACUGCACUUGAGACUGGGUAUCUUGAGGGCAGGAGAGGAAAGUGGAAUUCCGAGGGUAGCGGUGAAAUGCGUAGAUAUUAGGAGGAACACCAGUGGCGAAGGCGACUUUCUGGACUGUACCUGACGCUGAGGCGCGAAAGCGUGGGUAGCGAACGGGAUUAGAUACCCUUGUAGUC
rnacentral:rRNA from 1 species